UUAUAAAUCAUGCUGCUAUAAAGACACAUGCACACGUAUGUUUAUUGCGGCAAUAUUCACAAUAGCAAAGACUUGGAACCAACCCAAAUGCCCAACAACAAUAGACUGGAUUAAGAAAAUGUGGCACGUAAUACACCAUGGAAUACUAUGCAGCCAUAAAAAAUGAAGAGUUCAUGUCCUUUGUAGGGACGUGGAUGAAACUGGAAACCAUCAUUCUCAGCAAACUAUCGCAAGGACAAAAAAACAAACACCACAUGUUCUCACUCAUAGGUGGGAAUUGAACAAUGAGAGCACAUGGACACAGGAAGGGGAACAUCACACUCUGGGGACUGUCAUGAGGUGGGGGGAGCGGGGAGGGAUAGCAUUAGGAGAUCUACCUAAUGCUAAAUGACGAGUUAAUGGGUGCAGCACACCAACAUGGCACAUGUAUACAUAUGUAACAAACCUGCACAUUGUGCACAUGUACCCUAAAACUUCAAGUAUAAUAAUAAUAAAAUAAAGAAAAAAAAAGUACCUAUGACAGCGGUUGAGAUUACCAAAGGAACCACUGUGUGCCAGAGUAAGGGCCAAGGAUGAGUCCCAGGGAACACACCCUUAUUAAGGGGUGAAGGCCAGGAAAGAACAAUCAAAGCUGGAGGCGGAGAACCAGGAAAGAUAAUUAUGUCAAGGAUAUAACUGAAGAAGUAGGGAAUGGCCAACACAAGUAAAAUAAAGACCAAAACCUGCCCAUUGGUUCUAGCAAUUAGGAACUUGAACCUUACCCCUAGAUAUACCUGGGAAUUGUCAGGGACAGAAGGCAGAUCACAUGGCAUUGAGAAAAUGCAGAGAUAUCAAAAAGCUAUGAACUAAAAGAGAUACUAAGCAAAAGACUGACCAAGGAAGAUUUUUAGAAAGCAGAUUGAGUUCUUCGUUCAUCCAUUCAAUACACUGAGUGCCUUCAAUGUGCCAGUAGUUCUAGGUGCAAGAAUCAAUAAACAAAACAUAGAUUCUUCUUUCAUUGAGCUUAUUUUCUUGUGAGAGUAGGCAAUUAGCAAAUAUUUUAUGACAAAUGAUGAUGAGUGUUGUGAGAAAAAAAUAGUAGAGAGAGUGAUGUGAGCAGAGUGUGGUGCUGUUUGGGAUAGGGUCAAGGAAGACCUUGAAGUCAUCUUUGAACAGAGAUACUAAGUAAGGAAGCAGGAUGGUAAGAUUUGGAGAGUGGCUCUCCUCCCCACAUAUGGGGGCAGAGGGCAGAACAAAGGCCCUGUUUCCCUAGUCAGAAACAGCACUGUCGCCAGCAAGGUUUGAACAAAGCGAGCAGGUUGGAGCUGAGGUCAGGGGUGGCAGUGGGCCUAGGCUAGGCCAUGCUGAGGCUUGGAUUUCUUUCUCAGUGGGGAAGCCACCGAAAAUGUUGACCAGAGGAUUCUUUAAAAACUUUUGUUGCUAAAAGGCUCGCUCUGGCUGCUGUAUUAUGAAGGAACUAUAGGGAGACUAUUAUAACAGUCUUCCAACAUGAGCAAAACUUAGCCCCUGAAAGCUGUAGUGAGCUAGAGGAGAUAGCUAGGUGAGAGACAAUCAGAUAGGUUGCAAAAUCAGCGGGAGAAAGGGAAAUGCUGAGUGGUUAGGACUGGAAAUGUUAUGGGGUAGGAGAUGGAAGAAAGGCAGAUGAAGAGCCUGGAAUAUGGAAAUACGCAGAGGACCAUUUGCAGAAAUCCCUUCCUUGGAGAGUAUCACCAUCACUGAGGGAAGCAACUACUGCUUGAUGAGAGAGUACAGCAUAGCAGUAAUGGUGUAAACUCUGCCAUGCUGUGUGUUUAAACCCCAGUUUGAGCAAGUUACAUACUCUCCCUUUGUCUCAGUUUCUUCAUCUGUAAAAUUAUCAUAAUAGUGCCUACCUCAUAAGACUGUUGUAUAUAAUGAAUUUUUUAAAUUUUUAUUUAUUUUUUUUGAGACAGGGUCUCACUCUGUUGCCCAGGCUGGAGUGCAGUAGCGCCAUCUCCGCUC
rnacentral:lncRNA from 10 species